rnacentral:rRNA from 1 species
GAUGAACGCUGGCGGCGUGCCUAAUACAUGCAAGUCGAGCGAACAGACGAGGAGCUUGCUCCUCUGACGUUAGCGGCGGACGGGUGAGUAACACGUGGAUAACCUCCCUAUAAGUCUGGGAUCACUUCGGGAAACCGGAGCUAAUACCGGAUAAUAUAUUGAACCGCAUGGUUCAAUAGUGAAAGACGGUUUUGCUGUCACUUAUAGAUGGAUCCGCGCCGCAUUAGCUAGUUGGUAAGGUAACGGCUUACCAAGGCGACGAUGCGUAGCCGACCUGAGAGGGUGAUCGGCCACACUGGAACUGAGACACGGUCCAGACUCCUACGGGAGGCAGCAGUAGGGAAUCUUACGCAAUGGGCGAAAGCCUGACGGAGCAACGCCGCGUGAGUGAUGAAGGUCUUCGGAUCGUAAAACUCUGCUAUUAGGGAAGAACAGAUGUGGAAGUAAAUAUGGAGGUCUUGACGGUACCGAAUCAAAAAGCCACGGCUAACUACGUG